UACACGGACCUAAAUCCCAAUACUAUCUCUUAAAGUUUUCAAGAUCUCGACGCCUGGCUGAAUCAAUUGGUCUGAUGAAAGAAAACUUUCUGAUGUCUGUUACGUAUUUUUCAAUGAAUGCAGUACUUUACGAGUAACGGGUGGGAUUAUUCCGUCACCUCUCCCGUUUGCUCUAAAUCAAUAGAAUAUGUGUAUGUAUAUCUGACUGAAAUCGGAUUGACAGGCGGUGGAAUAUCGCGACACCUGACAAUUGUGGCCAAAAUGCAGCACAAACUGCUGUCGGCCAUCAAAACUUGGACACGUUCCACGAGCUCUUGUGUGCGUUUUGGUUUUUUGUGGAGUAGAAAUGAGCCGGCUGGCCCACAAUGCUCCAAAUGGAGGUGGAAGUAGAGGGGCACGAUUUAACACUGGGUUCUUAUCCCACUCUGUAUGUUUUUUCUGAAUAUUCCAAUAAACAAAAUAUAGAAAUUUCCAAGCAAAUAAUCAGAAUCAGA